rnacentral:ncRNA from 2 species
UAGACAAAAAGGUCUCCGGGUGCCCCGCCCCUUUCGAGGCGGCGGGGUUAAACGGGAAGCCGGUGAGAAUCCGGCGCUGGCCCGCAACCGUGACCGGGGACGAAAGCCGCUGGAGGUCGGGCCUAACAGCCCGGCCUCUCGCCCGGGCGCUCGAGGGGGUGAACCCGAAGGGUUCCCGGGUGGGCCGCGGGGUCGCAAAGGGCCCUGUGGCGACAGGCCACUGGGUGGGCCACGGACGUAGGUAGUCCGUAGGCCCCCUGGGAAGGCGCGGCGAGUAGGACGAUCCGGAAGCCGGGAUACCGGCCCGGGGGCCGAGAAAGGG